rnacentral:rRNA from 1 species
GACGAACGCUGGCGGCGUGCCUAAUACAUGCAAGUUGAGCGCUGAAGGUUGGUACUUGUACCAACUGGAUGAGCAGCGAACGGGUGAGUAACGCGUGGGGAAUCUGCCUUUGAGCGGGGGACAACAUUUGGAAACGAAUGCUAAUACCGCAUAAAAACUUUAAACACAAGUUUUAAGUUUGAAAGAUGCAAUUGCAUCACUCAAAGAUGAUCCCGCGUUGUAUUAGCUAGUUGGUGAGGUAAAGGCUCACCAAGGCGAUGAUACAUAGCCGACCUGAGAGGGUGAUCGGCCACAUUGGGACUGAGACACGGCCCAAACUCCUACGGGAGGCAGCAGUAGGGAAUCUUCGGCAAUGGACGAAAGUCUGACCGAGCAACGCCGCGGGAGGGAAGAAGGUUUUCGGAUCGGAAAACUCUGUUGGUAGAGAAGAACGUUAGUGAGAGUGGAAAGCUCAUCAAGUGACGGUAACUACCCAGAAAGGGACGGCUAACUACGUG